rnacentral:tRNA from 1 species
GCGCCCGUAGUUCAAUUGGAUAGAAUGUCUGCCUUCGAAGCAGAAGGUUCCAGGUUCGAGUCCUGGCGGGCGCA